rnacentral:rRNA from 1 species
UUAGAGUUUGAUCCUGGCUCAGAUUGAACGCUGGCGGCAUGCCUUACACAUGCAAGUCGAACGGUAACAGGUCUUCGGACGCUGACGAGUGGCGAACGGGUGAGUAAUACAUCGGAACGUGCCCAGUCGUGGGGGAUAACUACUCGAAAGAGUAGCUAAUACCGCAUACGAUCUGAGGAUGAAAGCGGGGGACCUUCGGGCCUCGCGCGAUUGGAGCGGCCGAUGGCAGAUUAGGUAGUUGGUGGGAUAAAAGCUUACCAAGCCGACGAUCUGUAGCUGGUCUGAGAGGACGACCAGCCACACUGGGACUGAGACACGGCCCAGACUCCUACGGGAGGCAGCAGUGGGGAAUUUUGGACAAUGGGCGAAAGCCUGAUCCAGCAAUGCCGCGUGCAGGAUGAAGGCCUUCGGGUUGUAAACUGCUUUUGUACGGAACGAAAAAGCUCCUUCUAAUACAGGGGGCCCAUGACGGUACCGUAAAAAUAACACCGGCUAAACUACGUGCCACCACCCGCGGAAUACGUAGGGUGCGACGUUAUCGAAUUAUUG